rnacentral:misc_RNA from 1 species
AACAAGAGAGAAAGAAAGAUUUGGAAAAGAAACGGAGAACUGAAGAAGAGCAGAGUGCAGAAGGUAAUUCAGAUAAGAAAGAAGAAGCCUCGGAAGAAAGAGUAAUUACUUUGAGGCCUCUAAACAUGGAGGACAUGAGACAGGCAAAGAAUCAGGUUGCUGCGAGCUUUGCUUCUGAGGGAUCCGUAAUGAGUGAGCUGAAGCAGUGGAAUG